UAAUAAACUAUACAUUGAUAUUUGUUUAAAACAUGUUUCUCAAUUUCCUGUUAUUUUGAAAAAUACUAUAGAUGUUAGUUGAAAACAUUUAAAAGUUGAUCUCAACUUCGUGCACAUAAGACAUCAGCCACGAAACUGGAAUUAAGUCAAACCAAAAUAAAUCAUCUCCGGAUCAGUUGAUGAAACACAAUAAUCUUCCUUAAGCAAGAUCGCCACUAC
rnacentral:lncRNA from 1 species